CCUACGGGGGGCAGCAGUGGGGAAUAUUGCACAAUGGGGGAAACCCUGAUGCAGCGACGCCGCGUGAGUGAAGAAGGAAUUCGUUAUGUAAAGCUCUAUCAGCAGGGAAGAAAAUGACGGUAUCUGAGUAAGAAGCCCCGCCUAAAUAGGGGCCAGCAGCCGCGGUAAUAAGUAGGGGGCAAGCGUUAUCUGGAGUUACUGGGGGUAAAGGGAGCGUAGACGGCUGUGCAAGUCUGGAGGGAAAGGCGCGGGCUCAACCCCCGGACUGCUCUGGAGACUGUACGGCUGGAGUGCAGGAGAGGUAAGUGGAAUUCCUAGUGUAGCGGUGAAAUGCGUAGAUAUUAGGAGGAACACCAGUGGCGAAGGCGAUUUACUGGACUGUAACUGACGUUGAGGCUCGAAAGCGUGGGGAGCAAACAGGAUUAGAUACCCCAGUAGUC
rnacentral:rRNA from 1 species